UGCGUAGGCGGCUUGGUAAGUCAGAUGUGAAAUCCUGGGGCUCAACCUCGGAACUGCAUUUGAUACUGCCAGGCUAGAGUAUUGGAGAGGAGACUGGAAUUUACGGUGUAGCAGUGAAAUGCGUAGAUAUCGUAAGGAAGGCCAGUGGCGAAGGCGAGUCUCUGGACAGUAACUGACGCUGAGGCACGAAGGCUAGGGGAGCAAACG
rnacentral:rRNA from 1 species